UACCGUCCUGCCCUUUGGCACUGGUUAGACAACGGGGAACUCCAGCCACAUCCCCAUGCAUUUGUUUGGAGUAGGGUUUAUGUAAUACAACUCCAACCCCAUGCCGACCACCUCUAGACACGGUACCGGCCCUCCUGGUGCAACAGCCUCUUGAUGUCUGAUGAGGAGGUUUGUCUGAGCAGCCCCCAGUAGUACCUGAAUCACCACCUGCCACAUGAAUGGGGCCAGAAGGAAAAUUCAACAUCGGAAUUCGAUUCCACUUUCUCAAGUUAACUGGAAAAUUCCAUGGAAGAAAAAUAAAAGGAAAGACCACAUAAGCAAGUCAUUGGUUGUGCUGCACCUAACACUGCACCUCUCCUGAACCAAGAAGGGGCGUUGGCCUCUGGCAGAGGCUUCAGGGGCCUUUGCUUCCCUCUGGUUUUUGGCACCCCUCGAGAAGCCGGGGCUUUUAUUUGUUUUGCAUCUGUCCCAUUGGCAGGACACUCUAGGACAAGGUGAAAUAAUCAGGAUGACAGAGUGCCUGUGCCUCUGCCCGUGACAAGGUGAAAUAAUCAGGACGACAGAGUGCCUGUGCCUGUGACAAGGUGAAAUAAUCAGGACGACAGGGUGCCUGUGCCUGUGACAAGGUGAAAUAAUCAGGACGACAGGGUGCCUGUGCCUCUGUCCGUGACAAGGUGAAAUAAUCAGGACGACAGGGUGCCUGUGCCUCUGCCCGUGACAAGGUGAAAUAAUCAGGACGACAGGGUGCCUGUGCCUCUGCCUGUGCCCGUGGCAGGGUGUUCUUCAGGCUUCCAUCACGUCUGCUGUUGGCUGGGUGUGGCAAAGAGGUGACUGUAUUGGGACAAUUUUCUUCUUUCUCUAGAUAACUAACAGUGUUUAUCAGGGAUGAGAGUUGGGUUAAUGAAAUCUUUUUUUGAUUGAGACAAUCCUGUGAUUUUUCUCCAUAGACCUGCUAGUAUGAUGCUAGAAGAAAACACUGUCU
rnacentral:lncRNA from 1 species